GGCUGGGCUGGGCCUUCUUUAAUACAUCUACAACAUAAAAAAUACUCUAUAAUAAUAAUUUAUUUAACCACACUUUUUUAGUCUCACAUCGAUAGAAUUCAAAAAACACAAAGAAGGUUGGUCUAUAAAUAAAGAUUCAUUUUGUCUAAAACAAAUGUGAAGUCUAAAGAGUGGGAGGAGCUUAUAUCAAAAAAUAAUAUAGCUCUUUUCAUGGACCAAUGUAUAAAUUUUUAUGCUAAAAAUUUAUAAGGUCUUAAAAUAAAAUAAAAAUUGGCCUUUUUUUUAAAAUAAAAACAAAACACUGUUUUAAGUUAUUUAAAUAACUUAAAACAGGCCUGGAUCCAGGUCGGAUCCGACUCGGAUCCGGCUAGGGAGAUGCGCCUGGCGCAUCUCCCUCUGGGGGCGCAUCAUCGCAUAUGCGCGCAUAUGCGUGCGCACCCAGAACCUUGAUUUUCGUAAUAAUAUAGCUCUAUAAAUGGCUAGGGUUUCUUUAAACUUAUAAGAGAGAGACUUUUAUAAAAAGAAAAUAAUAAAUAACCCAAGAGGCUUUUAAAAAAUAAUAACGUAAUGGGUUGGGCUGGGCCUUCUUUAAUACAUCUACAACAUAAAAAAUACUCUAUGAUAAUAAUUUAUUUAACCUCGUGAAUAUGAGCACAUCAUCCUCGCAUAUGAGAUGGGAGAUGGAGGUAGCCCCAUUCACCAUAUAUGUGUCUACCUUCUUGUCCUUAAUUCCUUUCUCAAUCAGUCUUCUAAGAUUGUCCAUGACUAACUUAAAGAGGAUAGGGGACAAUGGAUCUCCUUGUUUAAUCCUCCUGUGGUUUAUAAAAUGAUGCAGAGCAUCUAGUCAAUAGCAACCCCAAUUCUAAGCACAUUGGGAUGAGUAUAUUACAAAGGAUGUGUGGUGGGCCUAACCAAGGUUGGGCCUCACAACCUUCUAUCUAGAAGGUCAUCACACUCACAUCAUGAGGGUUGUCCAUCACCCAUGAUGUGAGUAUAAAUAUGAUGGACCUCACUUGGGAAGGUUGCUUUUUGCUUUAUUGAAUUCUCAAGGUAUUACCUAUCUCCUUCAUUGAUCUACUUUAUUUCUCAUCUACUGUUCCUCCCUAUUUCCUUCCUUAACCUCAGUGAUCAUCCUUCUAGAUCUAUUACUCUUCUUUGCUGAUCUUCUUGGUGGAUUCCAAGACUCUUACUCUACUGUUCUUCCCGAUUGAGAAUCUGAAUUCUCAACUUUAUUACAUUGGGCAUCCGAUCCUGCAUUAUAAAAGGAAGAGUGGGGGUGCCCUCCACCAAUACAAAAAAGGGUGCAAGAAGGUAGAGAUAUGCAGAGAGGUAUGUACUGGUUUUGUAGGAGUGAUUAGAAACCUAUUUCCUUUAGUUAGAGGUGUUUGCAUCCCAUUUGACCGUGUCAAAUGACUUCUUAAGGUCGAUGCUUAGACAACACCUUCUAGGGGUCCUAAUUCUUCUAAAACCAUGUAUCAUCUCAUCUGCUAGGAGGGUGUUAUCCAAAAUAUUUCUUCCUGCUUUGAACAAUGAAGGCAGUCUGUUGUGGUGAGAUGAGUUCAGAGGCCACCAUUAAUAUGCUCUCAACCAAAAUCUUUGUGAGGAACUUAUAUAUUUAGGUUAACAUAUGAGAUUGGCCUAAAGUCUAAUAAAUUUGUGGUCGUGGGCUUCUUAGGUAAUAAGUGUUAUGAAUGUAUGGUUAAGUAUAAAUUAAGUGCUUAUUGACUAAAUCUUUAGUAUCAGCUUGUGCUUCGUUGAAAUUAAAUCCCUUUACAUUUCAUAUUGGGAAAACAAUAAGGAAUUAAGGAGGGGUGGCUUCCCUAGGGAGAAGACUCCUCUCAGGGAGAGCCUUAUAUAAUAUUAUUGUUAGUAUAGUGCGGUAUUAACCACACGUUAUACCUAAGUUUGGCUAUGGGUAGAAGCCCAACCACAAAUGAAGCGUCUCUUAAGCUUCCUCUCAGACCUUGACAACUUUUCUGUUAGAGUUAAUUGCGUUGAGAAUUGAGAUUAAUAGCAAGGAGUUAUAUGCAAGGUUCCAGAUGCGCCUUUGCGCGAUGCGCCACGACCUGGAGCACUUGAGCCAGUGGCAUUUUCGUAAAUAUAUAUAAAACUAAAGGAAAUUCAUAUAUUUUUUUAUAUAUCUAAACUAUAUCAAUUAAAUUUUUUAGUUAAAAAUAUAUUGGAUAGAAAAAUUAUUAUAAUACAUAUAUUUAUUAAUUAUUAUAACACCCUAUAUUCAUUGUAACACUAAGGUUUAAAAACCGGUUGACCGAUAUUUUCAUAAUAAUAUAGCUCUUUAAACGGCUAGGAUUUCUUUAAACUUAUAAAAGAGAGGCUUUUAUAAAAAGAAAAUAAUAAAUAACCCAAGAGGCCUUUAAAAAAUAAUAAUGUAAUGGGUUGGGUCUUCUUUAAUACAUCUAUAACAGUAUAACAUCAAAAAUACUCUAUAAUAAUAAUUUAUUUAACUACACUUUUUUAGUCUCACAUCGAUAGAAUUCAAAAAACACAAAGAAGGUUGGUCUAUAAAUAAAGAUUCAUUUUGUCUAAAACAAAUAUGAAGUCUUAAGAGUGGGAGGAGCUUAUAUUAAAAAUAAUAUAGCUCUUUUCAU
rnacentral:lncRNA from 1 species